ACCCGAACUUGUCAUAACUGGAUUGGCUUCUGGGACCUCUAGCUAACAUUAUUUUUUCCAGUGGUCUACAUGCAGCUUUUUUGGAAAUGAGGAAACUGGAACUCAGAGAGGUUAGGAUGCUUGGCUAAGAACACAGCAGCAAAACUCUAGGGACUCAUACAAUGCUUCAGAAAUCCAUGUUUUGGGAAAGCUCCCAACAAAAAUCCUGGGAGUGAGACUUGCAGGAUUUUGCCAUUGCU